UUUAUUUCUGGGAUUUUCCAUUUAAUAUUUUCAGAUCAAAGUUGACCACGGACAACUGAAACCACAAAAAGUGAAACCUUA